rnacentral:rRNA from 1 species
GACGUAGGGCGCGAGCGUUUGUCCGGAUUUAUUGGGCGUAAAGAGCGUGUAGGCGGUCAGGUAGGUCCGUUGUGAAAACUCGAGGCUCAACCUCGAGACGCCGAUGGAAACCAUCUGACUAGAGUCCGGAAGAGGAGAGUGGAAUUCCUGGUGUAGCGGUGAAAUGCGCAGAUAUCAGGAAGAACACCCGUGGCGAAGGCGGCUCUCUGGAACGCAACUGACGCUGAGACGCGAAAGCGUGGGGAGCAAACAGG